CCCUUUCCCCUCCGGCCUCUGCCGGUGCUGCUGCGCCCUGCGGAGCUCCGAACACGUGCGCAGAGGCUGGCUGUGGCAGAUGCAACUGCAGGAUGACUUGAAAGUAGGGCAUCCUUCACCCAUCUGAAGGGAGGAAAUAGUGGCAGGUGACAGUCUGCAUGUGCAGUUUUCAGAUGCCUUCACCUGAAUGACAUCUACCUCCAUCAGGACCCCAGAUGUCUGACAGCCCUGUGUGACACCAAGAUAAGUAACGUAUGUAGUCUUCUUGUCAUGUAGGUCCCAAUUAAAUUACUAUAGCUCAGAUGGGGGUAGGGGACUUAAAAUUAUGAUGUGAAAAAUUAUGUAGAGUAUCAGACUUUUUUUUGGGGGGGGACGGAGUCUUGCUCAGUUGCCCAGGCUAGAGUACAGUGGCUCGAUCUCGGCUCACUGCAACCUCUGCCUCCUGGGUUCAAGCGAUUCUCCUGCCUCAGCCUCCCGAGUAGCUGGGACUACAGGCACCUGCCACCAUGCCAGGCUAAUUUUUUUAUUUUAAGUAGAGACGAGGUUUCACCAUAUUGGCCAGGCUGGUCUGAAACUCCUGACCUUGCGAUUUGCCUGCCUUGGCCUCCCAAAAUGCUGGGAUUACAGGUUUUUUUGUUUGUUUUUUGAGACGGAGUCUCACUGUCUCCCAGGCUGGAGUGCAAUGGCGCAAUCUCGGCUCACUACAACCUCUACCUCCUGGGUUCAAGCGAUUCUCCUGCCUCGGCCUCCUGAGUAGCUGGGAUUAUAGGCGUGCACUACCACGCCCAGCUAAUUUUUGUAUUUUUAGUAGAGAUGGGGUUUCACCAUGUUGGUCAGGCUGGUCUCGAACUCCUGACCUCGUGAUCCACCUGCCUUGGCCUCCUAAAGUGAUGGGAGUACAGGCAUGAGCCACCGCGCCCAGCCAAGUAUCAGAAUUUUAGAGAAUUCUUAGGAUCUAAAGUCCAUCCCUCACUUUUCUGGAGCUCUGCUGUGCAGUAGGUAUAUGCUACAUGUGGCUGUGUAAGUUGAUAAAAAUUAAUCAAUUUCUUAAUCUCAGAAUCUGGCUGCUGACUACCCUAUUGGACAACUCCAAUAUUAGAGAACAUUUCCACCAAUUCAGAAAGUUUAUUAUGCACUGCUGUUCUAGAGCAGGGAUCAGCAAACUUGCUGUAAAGAGCCAGGUAAUAUAAUAUUAUGCUUGUUCAGCCAUGUGGUUUUUGCAACUAUUUUUGCAGCUCUAGUGCAAACACAGCCUUAGACAAUAUCAACACAUGAGCAAGUCUAUAGUUCUAAUAGAACAUUAUUUAUGGACACUGAAUUAGAAUUUCAUAAAAUUUUCAGUGUCAAAAUUGUUUUCAAUGAUUUACAAAUUUAAAGACCAUUCUUAUUUUGAGAGCCAUACAAAAACAGCAGGCUGGAAUUGGCCCAUAGGCUAUGGUUUGCCAACCUCUGUCCUGGAGAAUGAAAUUCAGGCCUUGAAAGUUGAACAGCUCAUUAGUGACAGGUUCAGAGCCAAUAGCAAUGUGUCUUUCUGAAAAGUUUAAUGUUAUCAAUAGCUUUGCCUUAGAGCAUCAUACUCUUCAUCUUUUAGGGCACUAAGGUGACUGCAAGAAAUUAACCAGUAGUAAAAAUAGUCUGUUUUUUGUGUGUUUGGGAUUUGUUUAUGUGUUUUUUUGCAUGGGUUACUUACAGCAGUUCUCUCCACUUUUAAUGUGCUCCAAAGGGAGAGGUCUUAAGAAAGAAUAGCAGUCUGCACUUAUCAAACUCAGCCACAAUCUCAGUCUGAGUUGGUAAAACCGAAAUGGCUCCUAAGGAAAGAGGAAAAUUUUAUGUCAUGAAUAGUCACAGUACUUUAAAUCUGAGGCCUCAAGUUCUAAGCAUACAGGUUGUCUUCCUGACUACAGUAGCGCUAUCCAUGUGCAGAGACGUUCCUAUAUUGCUACUUGAAAAUAGAUAAUUCAUUGGUAUUCCUGUAUUCAAUAUCCCAAAAGGCAUCAAUGGUGUAAUCAUGUGCAUUUAAAUAAUUUGAUGGGAUUUCCUACUUGAUAAAUAAAGUUACUCACCUACUUA
rnacentral:lncRNA from 1 species